CCUACGGGUGGCUGCAGUGGGGAAUAUUGGGCAAUGGAGGCAACUCUGACCCAGCAACGCCGCGUGAAUGAUGAAGGUCUUCGGAUUGUAAAGUUCUGUGAUGGGGGAUGAACACAAUGACGGUACCCCAACAGCACGCCACGGCUAACUACGUGCCAGUAGCCGCGGUAAUACGGAGGUGGCAAGCGUUAUCCGGAAUGACUGGGCGUAAAGGGUGCGUAGGUGGUUUAGUAAGUUGGCGGUGUAAUUCCGGGGCUCAACCUCGGCGCUACCGCCAAAACUAUUAGACUAGAGUGCAGGGGGGGUAAGUGGAAUUCCUAGUGUAGCGGUGGAAUGCGUAGAUAUUAGGAGGAACAUCAGGGGCGAAGGCGACUUACUGGACUGUAACUGACACUGAGGCACGAAAGCGUGGGGAGCAAACAGGAUUAGAUACCCGGGUAGUC
rnacentral:rRNA from 1 species